AGAACGAACGCUGGCGGCAUGCCUAAUACAUGCAAGUCGAACGAACACUUCGGUGUUAGUGGCGCACGGGUGCGUAACGCGUGGGAAUCUGCCCUUGGGUUCGGAAUAACAGUUGGAAACGACUGCUAAUACCGGAUGAUAUCGAAAGAUCAAAGAUUUAUCGCCCAGGGAUGAGCCCGCGUAGGAUUAGCUAGUUGGUGAGGUAAAGGCUCACCAAGGCGACGAUCCUUAGCUGGUCUGAGAGGAUGAUCAGCCACACUGGGACUGAGACACGGCCCAGACUCCUACGGGAGGCAGCAGUAGGGAAUAUUGGACAAUGGGCGCAAGCCUGAUCCAGCAAUGCCGCGUGAGUGAUGAAGGCCUUAGGGUUGUAAAGCUCUUUACCCGAGAUGAUAAUGACAGUAUCGGAGAAUAAGCCCCGGACUAACUCCGUGCCAGCAGCCGACGGU
rnacentral:rRNA from 1 species